UACGUAGGGGGGCUAGCGUUGUCCGGAAUCAUUGGGCGUAAAGAGCGUGUGGGCGGCUCGGUAAGUCCGCUGUGAAAGUCCAGGGCUCAACCCUGGAAUGCCAGUGGAAACUGUCGAGCUAGAGUCCGGAAGAGGCGAGUGGAAUUCCUGGUGUAGCGGUGAAAUGCGCAGAUAUCAGGAGGAACACCAAUGGCGAAGGCAGCUCGCUGGGACGGUACUGACGCUGAGACGCGAAAGCGUGGGGAGCAAACAGG
rnacentral:rRNA from 1 species